rnacentral:rRNA from 1 species
ACGGCUCAGUAACACGUGGACAACCUACCCUUGGGACGGGGAUAAACCCGGGAAACUGGGUAUAAUACCCGAUAGUUCUGGGAAGCUGGAAUGCUUCCAGGACGAAAGCUCCGGUGCCCAAGGAUGGGUCUGCGGCCUAUCAGGUAGUAGUGGGUGUAAUGUACCUACUAGCCUACGACGGGUACGGGUUGUGAGAGCAAGAGCCUGGAAAUGGAUUCUGAGACACGAAUCCAGGCCCUACGGGGUGCAGCAGGCGCGAAAACUUUACAAUGCUGGCAACAGCGAUAAGGGGACCUCGAGUGCCAGGAUACAAUCUUGGCUGUCGUAAUGCCUAAAAAGCAUUGCAUAGCAAGGGCCGGGCAAGACCGGUGCCAGCCGCCGCGGUAACACCGGCGGCUCGAGUGGUAACCGCUAUUAUUGGGUCUAAAGGGUCUGUAGCCGGCCGGAUAAGUCUCUUGGGAAAUCCAGCAGCUCAACUGUUGGGCUUUCAGGAGAUACUGUUCGGCUCGAGGCCGGGAGAGGUGAGAGGUACUUCAGGGGUAGGGGUGAAAUCUUGUAAUCCUUGAAGGACCACCAGUGGCGAAGGCGUCUCACCAGAACGGUCCUGACGGCAAGGGACGAAAGCUAGGGGCACGAACCGGAUUAGAUACCCGGGUAGUCCUAGCCGUAAACGAUACUCGCUAGGUGUCAGCCACGGUGCGACCGUGGUUGGUGCCGUAGGGAAGCCGUGAAGCGAGCCACCUGGGAAGUACGGCCGCAAGGCUGAAACUUAAAGGAAUUGGCGGGGGAGCAC